rnacentral:tRNA from 1 species
GGGGUUGUGGCUCAGUGGUAGAGAGCUCGUCUGGUAUAUGUGAGGCAAGAGGUUCGAUGCUCAGUACCA